AUGUGUUUGCCAGAACAAUGCGGGAGUUGCAGAGAGAGGUGUCCUGUGUUUGUUCCCAGUCUUCCUUCACUCACCUGCACCUGCUCCUGCCCUGCUUCGGCCAACAUGUUCUAUGCAGGUCUACUCUGUGAAAAGGAAAUGAUCAUACAUAAUUCAUGCAUUUGCUGUACGGAUUUAAUUAAAUGAUAGACAAAAAGUAGAGUGGCACAAGUCAAACUCAAAAAAUAGUAACAACAAAAUCAAUUUCAAAAUAAGCAACAGCAAUAAAUGUUACCUACUAUUUUACGAAUGAAAAUACUGAGACCAAUAAAGGCAUUAUAGUAUACAUAGCCUUGGAAUCAGAAGACCAAGAACAUACAAGAGAACAUAGCCUUGGAAUCAGAAGACCAAGAAACAAUUUAACUCUGCCCCUCUAGAGCUCUGAGAACUUGGGCAAGCCUUUUACCCUCUGUGAGUUUCAGUUUCCUCAUUUAUUUAAUUGAAAUAAUAAUACAGAUCACCUGAAAUGUAAUGAAAAUUAAACAUCCUUAUGUAGGUGAAACCAACUGGCAGCAUGCCUGGAAUAUAGUGAGUGCUCAUUCGGUCUCUUGUAUUUUCUUUCUAUACCCUACUUCUGUUCCCUUGGAUUCAUAUACCUGAAUUGGAAACACCCAAAGUCAAAAAGAAUAAGAAAAAUCUUUAGAAAUGUAGCAUAUUACCAAGAUCUGCAAAUUUCUGCCCAGAGCAGAUGGUUCUAAUAAAGAAAGUCGGAUC
rnacentral:lncRNA from 1 species